GGGGGGGCCACCAGGAGGACGCCGUCGAGCUCGGCAAGUUUGCCUGCUGCUUCCCCACGACCAAGUUGAGACGAGGCUGUGCUGCUGCCACCUACCGUAGCUGCUGCCAGAGGCCACCUUUCCAUGCUCCUGUCGCAAACGACGACCUCCCCUAUAAGCUGCUGCUGGUUCAAAUCAUACUGGAAGAGGAGAUGUGGGGUGUGAAGGUGCUGUACCGGGAGGUGGUGUCGGUGGCGAACACCAUCGGCAACAUCCUCAAGUGCAACGUGCAGGCACUCAGGUGGCUGAGAAUUGACUAGUAUAUACUGAUUAUGAUUGUUCUAUUUUAACUGCAGUAUGGAGCUUCCAUUUGCUCACACUAGAAUCAAUGCAUGAAUCUGUUCUAGAUUAAAUCCAUGACUUGGUUCAGGUUGGUUGGAAAGGAAUUUGCCAUGUUCUGUAGCAUUGCUUCCUGUUCAUGGACAGCAAGUUGUUCUUAUGAUAUCAUCGCCUUAUUAUUUUACAGUCUUUGCGAAAUAUCUGUAUUUGUUUUGCUGAUCAUGCUCUCUUUUUUGUCCGAGGAUAACGAGGAGGACUGAACGACCGUCGUUGCCCCUUCUUCUUCUUCUUCUUCUUCUUCGACUCCAUGUGUUUUAUGGGGAAGUUUCUAGCUCCUCUUUGUGAUUUCUAAGUCUUUUUGUAGUAUUUGGACCUCAAAUAUGUGUGAAGCUUGAAUUGCUUUCUUGGAUAUAGUGGUGGAUGUACUUGUUUCUGUCAAAUGAAGCUUGUAUUUAUUGCA